GCAUCGUUAUCCCAAUACCCCCAUGCAUAUGGGAUAUAUUGAGCAUGGUGAUUAGAUCAUGAUAUGAAUAAACAUAACAGUUUAAAUAAUAAAUGUAAGACCUUCUCGCGGACCACUCUGAGAAUUUGGCUACAUGCCUGACUCUUGGAUUGAACCCUUAUACCUCCCUUAACAGUUAGUAGCCACUUCGAACAAUGAAUGCACGUUCUUCUGGUGAUCAGGGUGCAGUAGAAUGAUGUUCCCAGUCUCUUUCCACCAUUGAGUAAAUCUGCAACCAUCAGAAGCAAGACCAGUGACAAUUCCUGAUCAUGCCUCUGAACAUUGAUGGGAGGAGCUGGUAACGUUAUCCUGUCACACCCUGAUUACCAUACGAACAGACUUCCAUCACUUGGUGCAGCUUCUGGCUGUUAAGGUAGGCUUUAGUUGGCUCUACACUGCCAUAUAAAAUUCAGAUUAUCUGAUUUGAACUGGAUUAUAUGAGUCUACACUGCCAUAUAAUCGAAUUCAAAGCAGAUAUUAUGAAUUUAUAUGGCAGUUUAGAUCCAGCCUUUGUGGGACAUUUAUAAUUGUUGCAAUAGUGAUAUGAUCAUCAAUAUGCAGUAUUAGUAAAUAUAAAGUAGUUAUGGGUCUGAAACUCAAGAUCAUGAAGGAACGGCAUCACUAGGGAGGUGCUGGGGGUGUGAACUGCACAGGGUGACAACAUAAGAGGAGAUGACAAAAAAUAAUAAUACAAUGUGUGUGCAAUGUUUCAGCACAAGUUUUUUUUUAUUAUUUAUACAAAUAUCCCUAUAGUUUGAAUUAACCUCAAAACCAUUUUUCUUAAGCCCAGCUCACAUGUACUGCAAAAAUAUUUCUUAAAAAGGCCAAAAAUGUAAGCUAAUUUUCUUUUUGAACCUUCUGUUACAUAUACAUUUGGUGAGAGCUGUCAUUAUUAUUCAGUUACAAUGACAUAUGGUUUCAUCUGGACACAUUCCAAAUAUGCACUGUUGUCUUCGUUGAGGCUAGAUUUUUAUAGCCAUGGAUUACACUAAUUCUUUCUGGUAUGUCAACUACAACACUGUGGUGUACUCUAGUGUGAGAGGAAGUCCAGAGGGUGACACCAUGAGUUACUGCCCUUGGUGAUACCAACCCUAGAGAUGCCACUGUUUACAAAUUCAUAACUGCAAUACAGCCAAGAUCAGUAGUAGCAUCAGGGUAUUCUCAUAAUUCUAUUGUGGGAUUAAACAAACUUUUUACUAAAUAAAUGAAUGCAGCAAAGUAAAGAGGUUAUGUGCAUAGUUUGAUUUAAUGAAACCCACUUUAUGACAUAGGUCUUCAGAGUCUCUCAUGAUAUGACCUGCCUAACUGAACUCGUCUGUGACAUCUGAGCAACCAAGCCAAUAACAAGCAAGAGAGGCAAUGACACUUCUAUUUGCCAAGCAUCAUUAUGACAGAAGCUCUAUCACUUGCUGAAGGAUGACAUUGAGAGCUUUGAGCAUAUUGCUAUGCAUAUUACAAUAUAUAGAGAGAGAGACUUUUGAUUGUGGACAGUGACUGAGAAACUAUGGAUAUUUACAGACACAUAAUUCCAUGCCUCCAAAAUGAAAGCAACAUCGUAUCUGUUUUGAAACAUUCAUAAAUGCAAUCAAAAUUCACACCAGAAUGCUAAUGUACAGUGUUAACACAUAUAUGCUUAAUUCUGUAUCUACAGGAUGGUUCUUGAGAUGUUCCAACAAUUGGGAAGAAAUUCUCCUGUUCUGGGGUCCUGGAAUUUCUGGCUUGUGGAGGUAUUCAAGGAAAUAUCUGGCCACCUUUUCUUAAACUGCAAAUCUCAAGAUCGCAGUGGAUAUAACCAUGGCAGGCACUGAGAAGAUGGAAGUGCUGUCCUGUGGCACAAAGUGAUGACUUUCCUAUUCUGUGAUUGGAGGAAGUCAGAGAAAGCAGCAAUAUAAUUAGUAGGGCUGUGCCAAAUUAUCAUUAGUCCUCAUAAGUCGAAUCAAAUUUGUUAAAUUCAUACUUACGGUGCAAUAUCCAACACAUGGGCAUGACUCACACCAAGAACUUAAGAAUUGAAACUUACCCAAUACUUUUUGUUUGAACUUUGUAAACCUCUGAAACCUCUGAAAGUCAGUUUCAUUUUCAGCACAAGCAAGCCAAGCAAAGCCAAAAAGGCCACCUUUCCUCUUCAUCAUUAAGAGCAGGAAGCAGCAGGCAGAAAGCAGAGUUCGCUGGGAAAGAUAUUGAGAAAGCAUAACAUUCUGGGAAAUGUAGUUUGGGAAGACAAGGAGCCAUAUGCCAAAGAAUUCAAAAGGUCCUGCCCUAAACUACAUUUCCCACAAUUCUGCUCAGCAUCAGAAAGCCCCAAUCAGAAGAGGGGAGAGAUUUAUCCCUCCGUAGCAGCAGCCGGCGUUCCAUCCAAUACAUUGUUGAAUCUGCAAAGAGGAGGACUGACUGAUAAUUCUAGUAAGUAAAUCUCUGGGCUGGGAAGAAAUCCCUAAAUGGAAGUUCUAUUUGUCAAUAUGAGAGACAUUCAGUGAGAUAGCUGUUACGGCUGUUUUAAAAAAAGGUUUUUGUCAAACUUUAAAAAUUCCUUAAAAUCAGUAGAUGUAUUAAUAUUUUUGAAGGUUGAGGGGAAUGAUCCCUAUUAUCUUGUGUCAUUGUAUAGAAAAUUAAAGGAAUUAGUUCUUGUAGUUUAUUUUUUUAAAAAUGUUGUUUAUAAAAACUUUGAAAAUUCCCUAAAAACUUGUGGAUAAGUGAAAUGUUCUGAAAUUUGACGGGCUAACAGUAGUAAAUGUGUUCUACCAUUGUAGCAAGUUUCAUCUCAAUAGUUAUAAAAAUGAGGGAGAAAGGAGCCCCUGAAUUUUUUCCCUAGUGCCCCCUAAUUUUGUAAUGAAUUUUGAGACAUUAUUUUAAUCGAUCACACAGCUCUAAUAAUUAGAUUUGGAAAGAAAUCAUGUUUUAAAAACUCUUUGAAGCAAGUAUUCAAUGACAGCCUUAGAAGAUGAUUGGACUAGUUUGAUGACUUCUGUAUUUUUUGUUUGAUUUGUUUUGUUUUAUGAGGAAGAUGUCUUUCUCAUGCUAAUUUUAUGGUUUGAACUUUGGAAAAUAAAGUAAUGCUUCGUUUUGGGAGAGUAGAGUGGAGAUUAUGUCUAGCAUUUUUAUAUUUGGAUGUGCAAAUAGAUUAGAAUCAUAGACUCAUAGAAUCAUAGAGACCUCAUGGGCCAUCCAGUUCAACCCCCUGCCAAGAAGCAGGAAAUCGCAUUCAAAGCACCCCCGACAGAUGGCCAUCCAGCCUCUGCUUAAAAUCGUCCAAAGAAGGAGCCUGCACCACACUCCGGGGGAGAGAGUUCCACUGCUGAACAGCUCCAGUGAGGACGUUCUUCCUAAUGUUCAGGUGAAAUCUCUUUUCCAGUAGUUUAAAGCAAUUGUUCUGCGUACUAAUCUCCAGAGCAGCAGAAAACAAGCUUGCCCCCUCCUCCCUAUGACGUCCCCUCACAUAUGUAUACAUGGCUAUCAUAUCUACUUUCAGCCUUCUCUUCUGCAGGCUAAACAUGCCCAGCUCUUUAAGCCGCUCCUCACAGGGCUUGUUCUCCAGACCCUUGAUCAUUUUAGCCACCGUCCUCUGGACACCUUGCAGCUUGUCAACAUCUAUUUUCAAUUGUGGUGCCCAGAAUUGGACACAGCAUUCUAGGUGUGGUCUGAGCAAGGCAGAAUCGAGGGGUAGCAUGAUUUUCCUGGAUCUAGACACUAUACUCCUAUUUAUGCAGGCCAAAAUCCCAUUGGCUUUUUAGCUGCUGCAUCACAUUGUUGGCUCAUGUUUAACUUGUUGUCCACGAGGACUCCAAGAUCUUUUUCACACAUACUCCUAUUGGGCCAGGCGCACCUCAUUCUGUAUCCUUGCAUUUCAUUUUUUCUGCCUAAGUGGAGUAUCUUGCAUUUGUCCCUGUUGAACUUCAUUUUGUUAGUUUCGGCCCAUCUCUCUAAUCCAGAGGUCCCCAAACUUUUUAAACAGGGGGCCAGUUCACGAUCCUUCGGACUGUUGGCGGGCUGGACUAUAGUUGGCCACUGAGCAAUAAUAAUAAUAAUAAUAAUAAUAAUAAUAAUAAUAAUAAUAAUAAUAAUAAUAAUAAAAAUAAAGAGGGUUGGAAGAGACCCUUUGGGCCAUUGAGUCCAAUCCCCUUCUGCCUUUGUGCACUGAAAGCACAAGCAAAGCAUCCCUGACAGAUGGCCACCCAGAAUCAAUGUUAAUAAUAACAACAACAACAAUAAUAAUAAUAAAUGUGCCGUGCCAAAAGAUCUCAGCCGACAUUUGGAAAAAUAGACAUUGACAAAAUUACGAUCUGCCAACUGCAGAAGGCCAUCCUACUGGGAUCUGCAUGCAUCAUCCAAAAAUACAUCACACAGUCCUAGACACUUGGGAAGUGUUCGACUUGUGAUUUUGUGAAACGAAAUCCAGCAGAUCUAUCUUGUUUGCUGUGUCAUACUUAUAAUAAAAAAGUGGGUUGAAAGAGACCCUUAGUCCAACCCCUUUCUGCCUCUGUUCACCAAAAGCACAAGCAAAGCAUCCCUGACAGAUGGCCACCCAGCCUCAAUGUUAAUAAUAAUAAUAAUAAUAAUAAUAAUAAUAAUAAUAAUAAUAAUAAUAAUAAUAAUAAUAAUAAAAUGGUUGUAAGAGAAGAAGAGACCCCUUGGAUCAUUUAGCACAACCCCCUUCUGCCCUUGUGCCAUGGGGGCCGGAUAAAUGGCUUUGAUGGGCCGCAUCCGGCCCCCGGGCCUUAGUUUGGGGACCCCUGCUCUAAUCUGUUAAGAUCGUUUUGAAUUCUGCUCUUGUCUUCUGGAGUAUUAGCUAUCCCUCCCAGUUUGGUGUCAUCUGCAAACUUGAUGAUCAUGCCUUCUAACCCUUCAUCUAAUUCAUUAAUAAAGAUGUUGAACAGAACCUGGCCCAGGACGGUUCUUGUCUUGAAUCCUCCAUUGUAAAGCUCCUUGUCUUCCCAAACUACAAGGUUCACUUUUUGGGGAUUUUCAUCCGAUCAUAUUUCCAUUGUUUUCCUCUCUGCAUGGAAAUGUAUUCCUAUUUCUGUAUUUCUGUAUUUUUUGCAUUGCAUUCCCCCUCUCAUUGACUACUGUUAAUUACAUUUAAAAAUAUACAUAGUUUUAUCACUCACAUUUUAUAGACUUGUGGUCAUUUUCCUUAUCUAUACUGUAAGGCUUGCAAAUGUAUGGAUUCCCAAAUCAGGAUGUUAGAUGUGAAGUUGUUAUUUUCAGAGAAUUUUUGCCCCUCCAAAUUACGCUUCCAUUGUUACUUCUGUGUCUAAAUUAACAUAUCAAAUGCAAAACAUCUCCUUAUCCAUGGAUUUUAUAUCCACAGUGUUACUCUUAUCCAUCUCAGGAGAGUGGGUCUCUCUAGGUCCUCUAUUGCUAUUCUAUAGGAUACCUACAGUCCAAGUUAUUCAAAAUGUAAGAUUAGCUGUUAUACACAGUUUCAGGUAUCCAUGGGUAUGUGUGUCUUGAAAUUUAUCCCAUGCGGAUAUGGAGUUAAUACUGUAAUGAUUUUAUAAACAGUUUUUCAGAUAAAUUUGUAAACUAUGGUUCUGGUUUUCUGCCAAUGCCCAACUCCAAAAUUAUAAUCUUAAUAUUCCCCAUGUAGAUACUUUUAUGAUUUUUUUUUAAAAAAACCCUGUCCUAAAUUCUAUUGCUAGAAUCUAUUAGAAUAGACACAGUGAAUCAAAUAUGACUUAGUACAUCAACAUUUAGGUACACUCUGUUGAGUCAAUGCCUCUACUGGCUGCUAGAUUCAAGCUGAUAGGUGAACAGAAAAAAUAAUCCUGGAAUGCCUUUUUGAAGCUAUUUUUAUAGUGUUAAGAACCCACCAAGAGUGAAUAGAUGGGUGGCUUUUCUCUUAUAUUUUCUCAGAUUUGUGGGUUUCUCCUCCAAAUUUAAAAAUAUGGCUAUUAUAUGCCUGAAGACAGUGUAUGGAGAUCUUAGCAUUUAUUUAAAUAGCAGAAACUUUAAAGACUCCAUUGUAAAGUGGUUUCUUGCUAAACCAAGAAACAAAUUAUGGGUUUCCUAUUUAGAUUUCUAAUAUACAAAAUUCUAAGCAUUUGUUUAAAUAAUUGUUGAAGUUAAUCUGGAUUUGGUACUGGUCCAUUAACUGGAUGGAGGCCACAAGGUGGCUCUAGAGAGAGAAGGAUAGUCCAUUUUAUGGGGGUGGAAAGUGGGUUGAAAGAGUAAAACAAUUUUCCUGGUUUCCUGUUAUUUCCCCCACCCAUAUCUCCCUCAUGGAAAGAACCUUUGUUUAUGACAUGGGAACAGAGCCGACCCUAGGUAUUUUUCAAGUGUAGGCAAACAGAAUUUUGGCGCCCCCCCCCCAACCAAUCACUGAAAAAUAAAAGCGUUGGAUAAGUGAAAAUGUUGGAUAAUAAGGAAGGAUUAAGGAAAAGCCUAUUAAACAUCAAAUUACAUUAUGAUUUUACAAAUUAAGCACCAAAACAUCAUGUUUUACAACAAAUCAAUAGAAAAAGCAGUUCAAUACAUGGUAAUGUUAUGUAAGAAUGACUAUAUUUGCGAAUUUAGCACUAAACAUUGAACAGGGAUAUAGAGCAGUGUGGACUUAGAUAACCCAGAUAGCCCUCAGUAUUUAAAAAAAUCUCUAAAAUCAGGACAAUAAAUAAACAACAACACUCUGAAAACAGAAGAAAUCCAGACAGUAAACAAUCAGGGACAGCUAACACCUCCCAAAAAAAGAUUCUUCCAGGCAAGAAGAAGCCAGGCCUUGAAGCCACAGGGCCAUUAAAUGCUAAUCAAGGUGAUUAAUUACAACAUUCACACCUGCUUCAAAGAAGACUUCUUUCUCCCACCCUGGACUUUCUACAGAUAUAUAAACCCCACAUACCUAGCUUCCAAGUUCCCACAGACCUCACAAUCUCUGAAGGUCCCAAAGGUGGGCUCACGUGGUGUGAAGGCGGGCCCGCGCUGGCCGGAAGGCCCAGCGCGGGCAGUGGGAGGCCCAGCGCGGCCGCCAGGAGACCUGAAGGAGAAGGAGGCGGAGAGUGGCGCCCUCCUCCCAGGACGAUGGUGCCCCCGGAUCGAUGGCGCCACAGGCAAAUGCCUAGUUCGCCUUAUGGUUGGACCGCCUCUUCAUGGGAAGUAGGGUGGGGGAAUAACCAGCAAAAAUGGGGAAAAUGGUUUUCCUCCAUCAACAACCUCCCUAUAAAAUGGACUAUCCUUAUAUUUCUAGUGCCCCCUUGUGGCUUCCGCCUGGAUAACAGAACAGUACCCUGGAUUCUAUUGGAAGUAAUCCUAAACUACUCAAAGCCUAGUUGUUUUCCUAUGCAUAAAUAUUUUCUUAUCCCACAAAUGAAGAUAAAAUGGAAUAAAGAGAAAGAGGAGGAGGAUAAGGAGGAAGACAAAGGAAAUAUAGAUAGAAUAAUUGAGCUUUAUAAACCAACAUUUUGGGUAUAUGGAGGAGGGAGUAAAAAUACUUCUCCCAAUCCCCUGUGGCACUCUCACAAAUUUCCUCUUUUCACUAUAUUGAAAUGAAGCUCGCCAUUUCAGGGAAAAAAUGCUGAAGAUUGUAUUAAUCUUUGGGAAGGGAAAAUUUAAAGAUUUAUUUUCAUCUCUAAAUAUGAAAUGGAUAAGGAUUUUUAUUUCCCUUUGAUAGAAGCAAAAAAGGAAAUAUCUUGUUUUAAGUGGCAGUUUGGUUCCUGUGGGUGCUUUGCAUUCCUGGAACACAAUGAGCCUGGAAAUAAGGGUUUUAAUUUACCCCUCCUCUUUCCAAUGUUAUUGACUUUUCCCCUCUUUUCCAUUGUAACAAAAUAAAUGAUGUUUGGCACAGUUUUGGAGUGGACUUUUUGUUGUGGGUCUCCACUUUUUCCUGUUUAUGUUAGAAACUAGGAAAAUGCCCCUAUGAUGCUAAGUGUUAACA